CACUUCUGGACUUUUUGCCAGCUGACAGAACGUACAGGAGACUCCUUCCAUACAACGGGUAAUGCAACUGAGCAAUUUGUUGCCAGAAAACACAGUGCCAAACCCAGUUCAAAACUCUGGCCUUUCUCUGUCAGACUGACCAUCUUCCUAUGAGGUUCCAGUUACAACACCUGCCAUCUGCUUGAGCGUGAUGUCUCUCCUGGACUUUCUGGAACCAGUUCCCAGUGAAUGCCAUCCCUUAAUAAAGUAGAAUACACACUCAAGGGUGCGAAGGAGCCCUCAAUGCCCCAGUUGGGGUUAUCAACUACUUUCAGACUGGUUGUAGAAAAGAAACUCAAGGACUGACUUCAGAUUUUCACUUCAUCAAAGUAAC